UACGGAGGGUGCGAGCGUUGUCCGGAAUCACUGGGCGUAAAGGGCGCGUAGGUGGCGGCCCAAGUCAACGGUGAAAGCUCGGCGCUCAACGCCGAGUCGGCCGUCGAUACUGGGUUGCUUGAGCACUGUAGGGGCCAAUGGAAUUCCGGGUGUAGCGGUGAAAUGCGUAGAUAUCGGGAAGAACACCAAAGGCGAAAGCACUUUGCUGGGCCGAAACUGACACUGAUAGACGAAAGCGUGGGGAGCAAACAGG
rnacentral:rRNA from 1 species